CUUAUCUUUAAAGUUAACACAACAUAAAGAACAAUGCUUGUUUCAUGAGGAGAUUAAAGUUAUCAAGAAGACAGCUGAGGAAAGUACAAUUAAAACACAAACAUGGAAGCAUUCAGGAAGCAUUCAGACAGAAGCCAUGCAACAUGUUUAUACUAAAGGAAAGCUCAAACCAACACCCUCCUCCAGCUAUUAGGAACACUUUAGGAUGGCCAGCAAUGGCUCAACUACCACUGUGGCCAAAAGGGCCCCGACGAGAAAAGCCAGAGGAAGAGAGGAGAGGGACAAAGUCCACGUGUCCAGAACCACACAUCCUGCACGACUGUGAUGGGAAGGCUGACCACCAGGAGAGCCAGCCGGAGCUCUGAGAGUCUCCAAGUCUGGGGGUGUCCUGGCACUUCGCUGUUUAAUAAUCCCCCAAGGAAGCAACUUGCAGAAAGGUCAGAAGUUGCGGCAAGGACAGCGUCAAGGGUUCCCGCAACCAACGUGGAGACUUCUGCCAGCACGCAGGAAUGUCUGAAGGAAGCAGGGACCCCGGUCAGGAAUCAGUUCUCUGCGGACACAGAGGUCAGAGGACUCUGUCCUUGGCGGAAGAGCUGUGAACGCCCUGAAAUCCACAGGCGCCCGGCCAGCUGGUCCUGGACUGGGAGGAUGGGGAUCAGGUUGAGAAAGGGAUGCUGUGGUUAACAAGAGAGUACCUCUAAUUUGGGGACAGGGACCAGGGAGCAUGAGUUAAACAAGUGAACGUGACAGCUAGUGCCACUGUGGGAGACCAGUGGUGGGGGGCUUUGGGGCUCUUUGCGGGAUUGCUAGAAAGGAGAAAUCAAGUAACAUCUCAGAUGGCAACAUAAAACCUUAUGAAGAGCUGAGAGAUCACAGAAUUCUUCCUUCUAGUAUAGAGACCCCAAACUGCGAGACCAGCUGCUGGGGCCAGUGGAGCAGACUCACCCCUGAAGGGUGCUGACCUUUCUGCAGGGCCCACCCUUGAAGUGCAUGAGUCAAAUUGUCAUGUGACUUGCCCUGUUAACCCUAAUAUCCUAGGCGUGGCCACCAGUUCUCAGUGGGCCAUUUUAAAUUAAAUGAAGUUGUAAAAAGUAAUAAUGAAAAGAAGAAAAGGGAGAUUUAGUCAAUGUGGCCAUAUCUGGCAGAGGUACAAAGAGCUCCCCUGGAUCCCCAAGUCUGUCUUUCAGGUCUUGACUUGAGAUUUUGGUUUAAACAGAAGGCAGGAGACAUGCAUAACCAACCAGUCCUGGCCGAGGUGUGGUAGGUCCCUCCGUCAUUCUCUGCCUCUAGUCUCUCUGUCCUGUUCUGAUGGGUUGCCAGAACUGUGUAAAAUCAACCAGAAAGAAAGUUCUGGUUGAUACCAUGAGAUUCAUGGGAAAUUCUGACUUGUGGAGAAUCAUUUUUUCAUAGUCUGGUAGGCAAUGGAAGGGCACAAGUGUCCCUUCGGAAUGUCUUCAUGCCUGCCAGGGCUAUUACGAAGUUGGUCUAGCUCCGUGUAGGUCCCACACAGUACUCAAAGAACCCCAUCUAACCACAGAUCGGCUUCACUUAUUCCAAGGCCUGUGAAACACACACACCAGCCAAGGCAUCUUCUGUCACUACGGAGCCUGUUUGUGCUUAGCCUUGGCUCCUGUUCCUGAGGCCACUAAAUUCCUUCAGCUUCUCCAUCUGUCCCCUCUGCCCCCCAUUCCAUGGAUGCUUCUUGUUUUACUUCACUAUAACUUGUGUGAAACUUGCCUUCCCCCCUCAUUUUCCACGAAGAAGCUGCUCCAACUCCUCUCCCUGCUUUUUGAAAGUCUAUGAAAUAGUCAGAGCUGAGAAACCCUGGGAGGUGUCUGUCAGGACAAAUGUCUUCACACUCUGAAUCGCUUCCGUGUUCUGAGCUGACGGCCACUCAGCCAUGAGGCUUGGCCACCCUUCUUCCCUCCACCCCACCUACUCUCCUCCACCCCAAGUUCCACUGAAUUCCAGUUCAGAGUAGUUUAGUUUGUCGCUUUCGUUUAAGGAUGCUUAAUUGCCUUUUAAAGACACUGUCUUCAGCCCAAGGUUAGGGUUUUAUCUUCUAACCCUAGAUGUUUAUCAAGGUCUCUUCUUCCACAGGUAGUCCCUGGUGAGAGAAAGUUGACAUUGUUUUCCUCACUCUCCAGCUUGCCUGGAGCUAGGCUGUGAGAGAGGAAAGGUAGUGCUUGUCUUUGGGAACCAGUGAGGAUGGUUCUAAAAGCAGAGGAGGAAGGAGGAUCUCCAACAACAAAGGAAUAAAGAAAAUCUAUAUAUACAUUUCAGCCACAAAGACCGAAGUUAUGUCACUUGCAGGAAAAUGAAUGUGACUGGAAUUAAUCAUGUUAAGCAAAUCAAGUCAUUCUCAGAAGACAAACACCACAUUUUCUUUCAUUGGUGGUUCCUGGAUUUUAUAUGGUCACAUAAAAUCAUGAAUGUACAUAUUAAAUGAAAGCAGUAGUAAAAUUGUUUAAGAGAACAAGUAAUAAAUGGUGGGGGGGGUGAGGAUUGGAAGGGUGGAGGGACUUGGCGAACAAGGAGAGAUACGCUCAACAUAUAGAUCUGUAUGAAAAUUUAAAAUUAAUUUCUAGAAAGACAAUGAUAUCAAAGGCACAUUAGAAGAAUUUGACUGGAAAUGCUGUGUUGUUAAUAAAACUACCAUUUCUGCUUUGUAAAAA